rnacentral:rRNA from 1 species
CACGUAGGGUGCGAGCGUUGUCCGGAAUUAUUGGGCGUAAAGAGCUCGUAGGCGGUGUGUCGCGUCGAUCGUGAAAACUUGGGGCUUAACCCUGAGCUUGCGGUCGAUACGGGCAUCACUUGAGUUCGGCAGGGGAGACUGGAAUUCCUGGUGUAGCGGUGAAAUGCGUAGAUAUCAGGAGGAACACCGGUGGCGAAGGCGGCUUUCUGGACAGACACCGACGCUGAGGCACGAAAGCUAGGGGAGCAAACAGG